rnacentral:lncRNA from 1 species
CUCCAUGUUGUACGUAUUAGCAUUGUUAGUUGUACUUCCACUAUACUUUGUCUCACCAAACCCUUGCUUCUCCGAGUUGUACAUAUCCUCACUUCCCUGCUCCUGGGAGUUGUACAUAUUGCCGCCGUCUUCCGUCUCCACAAACCUAGUAUCAUCAAACUGAGGCUUCACUGACUUGUACCCAUCGCCGCCGGGGGCAUAGUAGUACUUUCCAUUCUCCAUAAACCUAGUGUCACUCAUCCCCUGCUUCUGAUAGUUGUACAUAUUGCCACCAUUUGUACCCAUCUCUUGCUUCCCAUAGUUGUACAUAUCGCCACCAUUAGCAAACUUUGAACCCAUCUCUUGCUUCCCAGAGUUGUACAUAUUGCCACCAUUUGUACCCAUUUCUUGAUUCCCAGAGUUGUACAUAUUGCCACCGUUUGUAUCCAUUUCUUGAUUCCCGGAGUUGUACAUAUCGCCACCACUUGCAAACUUUGCACCCAUUUCUUGCUUCUCAGAGUUGUACAUUCCGGUUUCACCGGUGACCUGGCCGUUGAAUUCGUCAGGGAAGUCUUGGGUGCUGCUGUGAAUAGGGGUGGUGUAAGCCACCGGGUUGUAGUUUUCCGGAAGGUUGGCGGGGAGGGGGAAGUUGUUGGCGGUGGC